rnacentral:lncRNA from 1 species
UGGGUGAAUGUCGGAUGACCCAGUUAGUCCAUGACAGGAAGACCAGGCCCCAUGCUACAGGCCUGGCACAGAGUAAGGAAGACCAGGCCCCAGUCUACAGGCCUGGCACAGAGUAAGGAAAGACCAGGAUCCCAUCCUAUGGUCUAGCACGGUUAUGGGACUUGAAGACCAGGAGCCAGAGGAGGCCCUGGGAAAAUGAUAAGUAAUGUAUGUUCUGACAGGAAAGACCAGGACCCCAUUCUACAGGCCUGGCACAGAGUUAACUUGGACUAAUUGGUGACAAGUUCACCCAAC